UACGGGGGGGGCAAGCGUUGUUCGGAAUUACUGGGCGUAAAGGGCUCGUAGGUGGCCAACUAAGUCAGACGUGAAAUCCCUCGGCUUAACCGGGGAACUGCGUCUGAUACUGGAUGGCUUGAGUUCGGGAGAGGGAUGCGGAAUUCCUGGUGUAGCGGUGAAAUGCGCAGAUAUCAGGAGGAACACCGAUUGCGAAGGCAGCUCGCUGGGACGUAACUGACGCUGAGACGCGAAAGCGUGGGGAGCAAACAGG
rnacentral:rRNA from 1 species